GCAAGUCGAACGAUGACGCCUAGCUUGCUAGGUGGAUUAGUGGCGCACGGGUGAGUAAUAUAUAGAUAAUGUGCCCCUUAGUCUGGGAUAGCCAUUGGAAACGAUGAUUAAUACUAGAUAUUCCUUCUCAUCACAAGGUGAGUCGGGAAAGUGUAUCGCUAAGGGAUCAGUCUAUAUCGCAUCAGUUAGUUGGUAGGGUAACGGCCUACCAAGACAACGACGCGUAGGGGGUCUGAGAGGAGGAUC
rnacentral:rRNA from 1 species